UAUCAGAUGAUUUUAAUUGCACACUGUCAAAUAGACGUAACAAGACUAGGUAUUUAGGUUGGUCAAUAUAACUCAUUCUGUCAUUCUAUCGACUAUAACUAUUAAUUAUGAUUCAUUUCAAUCAUGUUUAUACACAGGAAGCUUGUGCUGAUAAAAGUCCUAUGUCAGCUGAUGGACCACUUGCAUGUUCAAGUUUGUUUAAGAUCAUCGUGGAGUCACAUUUGAAGGGUACAAACCUUUUCAUUUGAAGCUGCCCUGCCCUCGAAGACAUUGAUAAUUAUGCUUAUAGAGUGUUUCAUCUGUUGUUCUCAUGUUGUGCUACAUACUGACUGCGCUUCUUUUCUUUUACAUAGUUGCUGUUGAUUCUGCAUUUGAGGAUAAUGAUGAUGCUGAAUACUUUUGUGUUUCUGUUUCAAGUAUGUUGAAAUUUUUAAUAAAUGUUUCCUAUUCAGAGCACCCUCCUCUUCGUGGCUCCUUCAUUUACACUAAUGAAGUACUUCUUGGUGCACAAUGUGAUGAGCAAUUGGCCUUGUAUGCUCUGAUUGCACGCGUAGCUGCUGACACCACCAUACCCUUGAGCAAUUGUUUUCUGAGUGAUUUGCAUGGCUAAGUCAGAUUUCUAAGGCUUUACAGUAUGGAUUCACCAAUGCAGUUGAAGUAGCUCAACAUCCUGUAGUUACAUUCUUCAUGGUAGUAAUGUUUGCCUAAUGGUGGCUUAAUAGAGCUAGAUGUUUGCUAGAAUACAUUAAAUGCCUCAUUUUAUACCUGUUAAUGUAUGUGUCAUUGCAUGUUAAUACAAAUGUAGCGUGCUAAUGAGUUCAGUUUGUAAGCUAUCCUAUUGCACAUGUCAUGGAGCUGACAAAAACGACUACCAGAUGAGUGUGUCCUACCCUGGCCUGAGCAGUACAUAGUACAAGGACAGUACAUGGUA